rnacentral:rRNA from 1 species
CAUUACUGAAUUGUCAAACGGGUUGUUGCUGGCCCUCAUAGGGGGCAUGUGCACGCUCUGUUUACACAUCCACUCACACCUGUGCACCCUCUGUAGUUCUAUGGUCUGGGGGACCCUGUCUUCCUUCUGUGGUUCUACGUCUCUACACACACACUGUAAUAAAGUUUUAUGGAAUGUACAUCGCGUCUAACGCAAUACAAUACAACUUUCAGCAACGGAUCUCUUGGCUCUCGCAUCGAUGAAGAACGCAGCGAAAUGCGAUAAGUAAUGUGAAUUGCAGAAUUCAGUGAAUCAUCGAAUCUUUGAACGCACCUUGCGCCCCUUGGCUAUUCCGAGGGGCAUGCCUGUUUGAGUAUCAUGAACACCUCAACUCUCAUGGUUUGCCAUGAUGAGUUGGACUCUGGGGGUUUUGCUGGCCUGUGGUCGGCUCCUCUCAAAUUAAUCAGCCUCCCAGUGUUUGGUGGCAUCACGGGUGUGAUAAAUAUCUACGCUCGCUGUUGUCUGCCAGGUAACCUUUGGUCACAAAGGUUUGCUGGAGCUCACAGAUGUCUCUCCUCAGCGAGGACAGCUUUUUUAACGUUCGAUCUCAAAUCAGGUAGGACUACCCGCUGAACUUAAGCAUA